AUUGAACGCUGGCGGCAGGCUUAACACAUGCAAGUCGAGCGGAGAGAGGUAGCUUGCUACUGAUCUUAGCGGCGGACGGGUGAGUAAUGCUUAGGAAUCUGCCUAUUAGUGGGGGACAACAUUUCGAAAGGAAUGCUAAUACCGCAUACGUCCUACGGGAGAAAGCAGGGGAUCUUCGGACCUUGCGCUAAUAGAUGAGCCUAAGUCGGAUUAGCUAGUUGGUGGGGUAAAGGCCUACCAAGGCGACGAUCUGUAGCGGGUCUGAGAGGAUGAUCCGCCACACUGGGACUGAGACACGGCCCAGACUCCUACGGGAGGCAGCAGUGGGGAAUAUUGGACAAUGGGCGCAAGCCUGAUCCAGCCAUGCCGCGUGUGUGAAGAAGGCCUUAUGGUUGUAAAGCACUUUAAGCGAGGAGGAGGCUACUUUAGAUAAUACCUAGAGAUAGUGGACGUUACUCGCAGAAUAAGCACCGGCUAACUCUGUGCCAGCCGCCGCAGUAACAC
rnacentral:rRNA from 1 species